UACGAAGGGUGCUAGCGUUGUUCGGAAUCACUGGGCGUAAAGCGCAUGUAGGCGGAUCUUUAAGUCAGGGGUGAAAUCCCGAGGCUCAACCUCGGAACUGCCUUUGAUACUGGGGAUCUCGAGUCCGGGAGAGGUGAGUGGAACUGCGAGUGUAGAGGUGAAAUUCGUAGAUAUUCGCAAGAACACCAGUGGCGAAGGCGGCUCACUGGCCCGGAACUGACGCUGAGGUGCGAAAGCGUGGGGAGCAAACAGG
rnacentral:rRNA from 1 species